GUUUUCUCAGUGUCUUCCCCAGUUGCAGCAAUAGCCUGGGCAAAGGUCCUGCUCAGGUUGUAGGCCUUAAAAGCUGUUAUGAAUCCUUGAUUCUUUGGUUAGAUCAAAAAGGUGGUGUUUGGAGGGAGAAACACUGCCUCGAUAUUGGGAUGAAGAUCAUAAACAAAAGGAGGAUGUCUGGGAGCAUUAUGAACAGCAAGCAAAAUAUUGAAAGCUCAGAAAAUAUUCUUAAAGGUCAUUUCUGGAGAUGAGAAAACCAGCUUGAUUUACACUAAUUUAUAUGAAGAGUCUAUAAGCAAACACCUAGAAAAGCAAAGUAGCUUUGGAGGAUUCUGAACGGUAACAGCGGCGGAAGAUUCCAGCAACAGAGUCCUAGCUCAGUGUGUGAGAUCAGUUUCCAGAGAUGAAGGCCUGCUUGUUCUUUCUCACAUUAAAUAAAAUUUAGAUAUAAAAAUUGAAUCCACUCAUACAAGUUCUGCUUUACAAAGAUUUUCUGAUAAGGAGAAGUAGUCUACAUAGUUCCUGUGUGCAUGGUAUUUGCAGAAAGAAAUCAUGAGAAGGAUGGCAUUAAGUAAAAGAUUCAUGGAACAAGCCUAAGUUUUUGAGAUUAGACAUUUUGUUGUAUGACCUAUUUAUUAAAGAAAAAACUAAUUCUGAAGCACAAUUUGUCUCGGAAGUGCAAAACCACAAGUCAAAUGGAGUCAGCUGUGUCAAGGACCAAAUGGACAUGGUCAAUGCAGGUGCGUAAAGGAAACUUUAAUCUAACCUUACUGGAAUUUACAGCUCCUCCAAGAAAUCAGCAGAGGACACCAGCCAAUCUCCAAACGCCAUGUCUUCAUGCCAUCUCUGGACUUCCGUUUUUCCCCCGGCUCAGCUGUCUUGAUCCAAAUAGAGAAGAAGACCAUUAGGCAACCAAUCAGCUGAAAAAGCCAACUGACUUCCACACUUCCCCCGAGAAUCCCCUAGUCUGUGAGCAACUUGGUGCUCAUUGCUCCCACAGCCCUGAGUUUCCUGGCUUGCUGGUCAAAAGCCUUGCAAUAAACUCAUCUUUCUUCUUUGUUUCAUUCAGUCUGCAGAGUUUGGUUUUUUUGACAGAAGGAAACAAAAAAGAAGAAGAAAAAGAAGAGAUCCAGAAGUCUAAGUUUAUUUCUAAUUUGAAGAAGUAAUAAGAACUGUAAUAUUCUAAUGGAUAUUUGGCAUUAUUCAUGAUGGCCAAGAUAUGGAAACAAAGUGCCCAUCAGUGGAUGAAUGGAUAAAGAAGAUGUGGUGUAUGUAUACACUGGAAUAUUAUUCAGCCAGGAAAAAGAAAGGAAAUAGUGCCAUUUGCAAGAACAUGAAUCAAAUUAAAGCCUUAUGCUAAGUGAAGUAAGUCAGAGAAAGAUGAGUAGUGUAUGAUAUCACUAACACAUAGAGUCUAAAAAAGCUGAACUGGUGAAAACAGAGAAGAACGGUCAUUACCAGAGUCUGGGGGGUAAAGGAAUUAAGAAUAUGUUAUUUAAGGGUUCAGACCUGGAUCUAGUAGAUAAAUAAGUCCUGGAGAUUCAAUGCACUGCAUAGUGAUUAUAGACAACAAUAAUUAUAAACUUCAAGGUUGCUAAGAGAGAGAUGUUAAUUGUUCCCACCAAAAAAUAGAAAUGAUUCUGUGAAGUGAUAGAAGUAUGAGCUGAUGCUACAAUGGCAAUCAUAUUGCAAUGUAUAAUUGUAUCAAAUCAACACGUUUUACAUCUUAAAUUUGCACAAUGUUCUAUGUCAAUUAUAUCUCAUUAAAAAUACACUAAAAAAAUAGAACUUAUUACACGUUGCUGUGUUUCUGACUCUGCAACACUUUUUGCACUUCUGUAUUAG
ensembl:lncRNA